AGACUUCCGGAUCGGCGCCGAGAUUUCUCCGAACACCAGACCAUCAGCACUGAUGAGACUCCCAAGAUAAGUGAAACG
rfam:Schistosoma haematobium scaffold372_29, whole genome shotgun sequence.